AGCUUUGCGCAGCGGCAGCAUUGUAGCCAAUGAGGUGUAUUCAAGGUGCGAUUAUUACUGAUUGAAAAAACAAUCAAUGGG
ensembl:snRNA U4 U4 spliceosomal RNA